rnacentral:rRNA from 1 species
UACGGGGGGAGCAAGCGUUGUUCGGAUUUACUGGACGUAAAGGACGCGUAGGCGGUCACGACAAGUCAGUUGUGAAAUCUCCGGGCUUAACUCGGAACGGUCAACUGAUACUGUCGGACUAGAGUGCAGAAGGGGCAACUGGAAUUCUCGGUGUAGCGGUGAAAUGCGUAGAUAUCGAGAGGAACACCUGCGGCGAAGGCGGGUUGCUGGGCUGACACUGACGCUGAGGCGCGAAAGCUAGGGGAGCGAACGGG